AGAUAAUUAUAAUCUUGAAUCAAAAAAAUUAAGAAAAAAUGUGAAGGGUGUAUAAAGCAUAGUUAGUUAAUUCGGAUUCGGCAAAAAUUUGGUACAGGUAUAAUUCAGAUAAAAUUCGUUUUUUAAUUUUUAAAUUCGUUGAAAAAUACGGCUAAAAAACAGAUAUGCCAAUUAUUCGGAUACGUGAUUUAUACGGAUAUUAUACGUUCACCAAUUAAAAAUUCGGGAUAAAAAAUUCGGCUAUUAAAUUAAGUUUUUUUUUCUCUCAAGAUUUAUGCUAUUAGCAUAAAUACUCAUAUUUCUUAAGAAUAUAAUAAUAAAGAGCUACAAAAUUAAGCUAAUUAAGUAAAAAAAAUAACAAACUAUAUUAUGCCUCAAAAUAAAUAAAUAAUUAAGUAAAUAAGAGAUUAAGAUACUUCAAAAGAGAUUAAAUUUUUUGAUUGAGCGAAAUU
rnacentral:lncRNA from 1 species